ensembl:snoRNA
AUCCUUUUGUAGUUCAUAAGCGCGGUGAUUGGGUUUUCACGCUCAUGCGUGAGACGUGCCUCCCACAAAUCUUGUUACGCUUUUGGUACAUUACCCGUCUGACG